GUUCCUGUAGCGCAAUGGAUAGUGCGUUGGACUUAUUAUCCAAAGAUCGUGGGUUGGAAUCCCGCUUGGUAUA